CCUACGGGGCUGCAGUGGGGAAUAUUGGACAAUGGGCGAAAGCCUGAUCCAGCCAUGCCGCGUGUGUGAAGAAGGCCUUCGGGUUGUAAAGCACUUUCAGUGGGGAAGAAAGCCUUGGGGCUAAUACCCUCGAGGAAGGACAUCACCCACAGAAGAAGCACCGGCUAACUCCGUGCCAGCAGCCGCGGUAAUACGGAGGGUGCGAGCGUUAAUCGGAAUUACUGGGCGUAAAGCGCGCGUAGGCGGUCUGAUAAGCCGGUUGUGAAAGCCCCGGGCUCAACCUGGGAACGGCAUCCGGAACUGUCAGGAUAGAGUGCAGGAGAGGAAGGUAGAAUUCCCGGUGUAGCGGUGAAAUGCGUAGAGAUCGGGAGGAAUACCAGUGGCGAAGGCGGUCUUCUGGACUGACACUGACGCUGAGGUGCGAAAGCGUGGGUAGCAAACAGGAUUAGAUACCCCAGUAGUC
rnacentral:rRNA from 1 species